rnacentral:lncRNA from 1 species
CGGGGGAGCGCGCGCCCACGGCCCGGCUGGUCGCUCCAGUGAGACAGCCGUCGCGUCAGGCUGCCAGACUUGGACCCCUCGGGGAGCGCGCGCGGGCCACCGAGAGCUCCACUGCUGAAGUCGGAACCCCUACCCCCCGGACUGCCACAGAGCGGCGAGCUCUUUGGCAGAUGGGAGGGACUGAUCACAGUCCUGAGACGCCCCGAAGCACAGUCCCCUUUGAGGUAAGUCACAUACAAGACCCACUCAGGUCACUGCGAGGUCUUGGGGAGACAUGGACCCCAAGGGCAGUGCCUAGUGAGGUGAGAGCUCAUGGUGUGCCCUCAGACUGUGAAUGGAGACAUGAAGCUGGAGGCUCAGCCAACACUGAGGCCAGACCAGAAUGAAGAAACUCAACACUGUCAGUCACAUCUGGCUUCCAGGGCAAGGGAGAUUUGGGGCCCAGCAGCAGGCCUUGAAUCCCUUCAGGGGCUCAAGGGAGGAGGACCCCUGGAGAGUGCACUCUGAUAGCGAGCACGUCUUGCUGAAGAACCCUUUUCAGUGAGGCUAAGAACUAAUAUCCAGUCCUGUGAUUAGCAUCCUUGCCAGACAUGCACUGUUUCACAUAGACCUGCUGUCCCAAAGGUUCUUUCCAAGUGAGAGACUUGUUCUGUGCAACGGUGUGUUUUGUGGGGUGUGUUCUUUGGGGAAAGGAGGGAAGGGAGUCCCACAGUCCUAAUACCACUAUCAACUUGAAUGGGGUUGGCCUUGAAAGAAGCCAAUUAUGUUUUCUGUGAAAGACCUGUGAAACUGGUACACUAGGAAAGACAAAAGUAGAAGUGAUAUUAGCAAAGACAGACGUAAAGGUUGGAGAAAAGAACUUUGCUGAAUGAAAGGGAUUGCCCUGGAAUCCAACCAGUCAUAACUGCCUUAGAAAGUGUAAACUGUUUCCCUCCACUGAAACUCCCUUCAACCUCAUGACAGGCCUGCUUUUCUUAAAAAGCUAAUUCCACAUUUUUCCAGGGAGAUGAGAAACCUUACUGUGUGGUAAAUCCCACAAACAGACCUAUUUUUCACCAAUUAAUCUAAGCCCAUAGCCAUGACCUAAAGCAGACCAUUUUCAUAUAUAGUCAUAAUUCACACACAUAAUAGAAAUCACUGAAGAAUUAACACAAGAAUUUGACAAAUGUGGGAAAAGACCAGAAUUUCCUUGGCUUUUUUAUGUGUUAGAUAAAGAAAAAAUAUUUAAUGGAGUGUUCAAAUGGUUACCCAAAUGUCCUAAAUGAUAAAAAUUCACUGAAUCUUUUUUUCCACUAGACAUGAAAAGAGGAAACUCAUUUUAGCUAAACUCAACAAGUAUCUUUUAAAUCCUGUACAUAAAAUCAUCACAGACCACACACCCCCCAAACACACACACAGAAUCAAUUGAAGACUAAAUAGGAAACUUGACCUACAUAUUUUGAGUUCAUAUAGAAGGGCAUGACAAAACAAGCAUCACCAUUACUAAAAUACCAUUUUAGGUCAUUGUUUUAAAAUAAAAACUUAUAAAACAA